ACCGGUGUCCAUUUCACCCAGAAUGUACCCAAUCUAAUAAAAUCUCGGAAGCUAAGGAGAGUUGAGUCCGGAUAGUACUUGGAUGGGUAACCACCAUGCACAAAAUAGGUUAUGAUAAGUC
rnacentral:rRNA from 1 species